UGUUAUAUUUGGCUAUCAAAUAAAAUUCUUGUUAUCAACAACCAGACUGCUACAGUAAAAUGCCUUCACUGUGCACUGUUCACUCUAUGAAACAUGUCUUUCUUAAUUGGUAUGUUACAGAAUAGCAAAAAAGGGUCACUGCAAACCUCUUUUUUUUUUAAGUCUGUCUUGACAACACUCAACAGCAUGUGCAUUAUAGAGUUAUUGGUGGCAUUUCUUCUCUCCAUACUGGCUGUGAACAGAUGUCUUUCCUUGAGCUGCUUGACUAAGAAACAAACUUACCUGGUGCUUUUGUGCCGCAAGUCAAUGACGACAUCAACUUGAGCCAAGGAGCAGUUUGACAGAGUCAGAGUAACUGGCACCACACACAGACUACAAUCAAGAGAGAAAACAACUGUUAGUAAAUCAGUUCAUCUAAGAGAUUAAUCUUGUCUCCCUCCACCCUAAAUUUCAUUUUGUGUCUUCUAUAGCAUCUGCUCUGUAAAUGAUUUGUCCUUUGAUCUCCUUUGAGAAAAAAAACAACAGAAACAAUAGGCAGAAAUGAUAUAUUAAAUUCCUUUAUUUCAUGAUGGUGACCCCUAGUUUUAAAUUAGUGAGUCUUUCUUUUGAGACAGCCAGUCAAAUUUGUAAAUGAAGUGAUAUUAGUAUUCUAUCAUAGACAGGACAGACAGUCACACUGUGCCCGAUAUCAUCCUGCCACAAGAGCCACAGACCCUGAACAACAACAAUCUCCUUAUCAGAAGUACAACACUUCAAUUUUUGUAGUUUUUGUUGAAAUGUAUGUAGUUAAGGAGUGAUGGAACAGGGAGAUUAAUCAUAUAUCUGUCAAUCCAUUGUGUUUUAAUAAUGUAAAUGUGUAACUAUCUUCAAUUGAAGAAAAUGUUACAUUUAACAUACGAAAUUGUAGUCAUUGUUU